rnacentral:lncRNA from 1 species
GGAUCAUGGAUGAAGUGGUCGUUUGAUAGUUGUUGGAUUUAGUCCACUUCUUCCUUGAUUUUAGGAGCUGCCACACGCUCCUUUCUCUCUCCCUUUAUCUCUACUUGUUCCUUCCUUUUCUCAACAGAAUUUGUUCCUUCUUUUCCUCCUUCAUCCUUCACGUCUUCCAUCAUUUCUUGACUCGGUCCAAACACCUAUAAACACACAAUGAAGAAAGAGCAAAACACACUUAUUCAAGAC